rnacentral:rRNA from 1 species
UACGUAGGGUCCAAGCGUUAAUCGGAAUUACUGGGCGUAAAGCGUGCGCAGGCGGUUGUGUAAGACAGAUGUGAAAUCCCCGGGCUUAACCUGGGAAUGGCAUUUGGGACUGCACGGCUAGAGUACGGCAGAGGGGACUAGAAUUCCUGGUGUAGCAGUGAAAUGCGUAGAUAUCUGGAGGAAUACCGAUGGCGAAGGCAGGUCCCUGGGUCGAUACUGACGCUCAUGCACGAAAGCGUGGGGAGCAAACAGG